rnacentral:tRNA from 1 species
GGGGUUGUGGCUCAGUGGUAGAGCACUUGCCUCACAUGGAUGAAGCACUGAGUUUGAUCCUCAGCACUACA